GGGGACGACGUCAAAUCAUCACUGCCCUUUAUGUCCUGGGCUACACACGUACUACAAUGGCCGUUACAACGGGAAGCGAAGGAGCAAUCCGGAGCAAAUCCCUUAAAGGCGGUCCCAGUUCAGAUUGUGGGCUGAAACUCGCCCACAUGAAGGCGGAAUUGCUAGUAAUUGCAGAUCAGCAUGCUGCAGUGAAUACGUUCCCGGGCCUU
rnacentral:rRNA from 1 species